GAUGAACGCUAGCGGCAGGCCUAAUACAUGCAAGUCGAACGGGCGGUAGCAAUACCGCUAGUGGCGCACGGGUGCGUAACGCGUAACCAACCUGCCCAGAUCUGGGGGAUAGCCCGCCGAAAGGCGGAUUAAUACCGCAUAAACCCACAGUGUGGCAUCACAUAAUGGGUAAAGAUUUAUCGGAUCUGGAUGGGGUUGCGUAGCAUUAGCUAGUUGGCGGGGUAAUGGCCCACCAAGGCGACGAUGCUUAGGGGACCUGAGAGGCUGAUCCCCCACACUGGCACUGAGAUACGGGCCAGACUCCUACGGGAGGCAGCAGUAGGGAAUAUUGGGCAAUGGGCGAGAGCCUGACCCAGCCAUGCCGCGUGCCGGAGGAAGGCCUUCUGGGUUGUAAACGGCUUUUCUCAGGGAAGAAAACGGGGAUGCGUCCUCAACUGACGGUACCUGAGGAAUAAGCACCGGCUAACUCCGU
rnacentral:rRNA from 1 species